rnacentral:rRNA from 1 species
GAGUUUGAUCGUGGCUCAGAAUUGAACGCUGGCGGCAUGCCUUACACAUGCAAGUCGAACGGCAGCAUGAUCUAGCUUGCUAGAUUGAUGGCGAGUGGCGAACGGGUGAGUAAUACAUCGGAACGUGCCCUGUAGUGGGGGAUAACUAGUCGAAAGAUUAGCUAAUACCGCAUACGACCUGAGGGUGAAAGUGGGGGACCGCAAGGCCUCAUGCUAUAGGAGCGGCCGAUGUCCGAUUAGCUAGUUGGUGGGGUAAAGGCCCACCAAGGCGACGAUCAGUAGCUGGUCUGAGAGGACGAUCAGCCACACUGGGACUGAGACACGGCCCAGACUCCUACGGGAGGCAGCAGUGGGGAAUUUUGGACAAUGGGCGAAAGCCUGAUCCAGCAAUGCCGCGUGUGUGAAGAAGGCCUCGGUU